rnacentral:rRNA from 1 species
UGCAAGUCGAGCGCCCCGCAAGGGGAGCGGCAGACGGGUGAGUAACACGUGGGAACGUACCUUUUGCUACGGAACAACUCCGGGAAACUGGAGCUAAUACCGUAUGAGCCCUUCGGGGGAAAGAUUUAUCGGCAAGAGAUCGGCCCGCGUUGGAUUAGCUAGUUGGUGGGGUAAAGGCCUACCAAGGCGACGAUCCAUAGCUGGUCUGAGAGGAUGAUCAGCCACAUUGGGACUGAGACACGGCCCAAACUCCUACGGGAGGCAGCAGUGGGGAAUAUUGGACAAUGGGCGCAAGCCUGAUCCAGCCAUGCCGCGUGAGUGAUGAAGGCCCUAGGGUUGUAAAGCUCUUUCACCGAUGAAGAUAAUGACGGUAGUCGGAGAAGAAGCCCCGGCUAACUUCGUGCCAGCAGCCGCGGUAAUACGAAGGGGGCUAGCGUUGUUCGGAAUUACUGGGCGUAAAGCGCACGUAGGCGGAUAUUUAAGUCAGGGGUGAAAUCCCAGAGCUCAACUCUGGAACUGCCUUUGAUACUGGGUAUCUUGAGUAUGGAAGAGGUGAGUGGAAUUCCGAGUGUAGAGGUGAAAUUCGUAGAUAUUCGGAGGAACACCAGUGGCGAAGGCGGCUCACUGGUCCAUUACUGACGCUGAGGUGCGAAAGCGUGGGGAGC